rnacentral:rRNA from 1 species
GAUGAACGCUGGCGGCGUGCCUAAUACAUGCAAGUCGAGCGAACAUACUAUGAGCUUGCUUGUUUGCCGUUACCGGCGGACAGGUGAGUAACAAACGGAUAACUUACAUAUAAGACUGGUAUCACUUCGGGAAACCGAAGCCAAUACAACAGAAGAUAAUGAACCGCAUGCAUCAUUAGUGAAAGAUGGCUUUGCAGACACUGAUAAUAGUACCCCUGUCGCAUGAGCUAGUUGGUAAUUGAACGGCUUACCAAGGCAACGAUGCGCAGCCGACCUGAGAGGGUGAUCGGCCACACUGGGAAUGAGACACGGUCCAGAAUCCUACGGGAGGCAGCAGUAGGGAAUAUUCCGCAAUGGGCGAAAGCCUGAUGGAGCAACGCCGCGUGGGUGAUGAAGGUCUUCGGAUCGUAAAACUCUGUUAUUAGGGAAGAACAAAUGUGAAAGUAACUAUGCACGUCUUGACGGUACCUAAUCAGAAAGCCACGGCUAACUACGUG